rnacentral:rRNA from 1 species
CACGUAGGGCGCAAGCGUUGUCCGGAAUUACUGGGCGUAAAGAGCUCGUAGGUGGUUUGUCGCGUUGUUCGUGAAAACCGGGGGCUUAACCCUCGGCGUGCGGGCGAUACGGGCAGACUUGAGUACUGCAGGGGAGACUGGAAUUCCUGGUGUAGCGGUGGAAUGCGCAGAUAUCAGGAGGAACACCGGUGGCGAAGGCGGGUCUCUGGGCAGUAACUGACGCUGAGGAGCGAAAGCGUGGGGAGCGAACAGG